rnacentral:rRNA from 1 species
GACGAACACUGGCGGCGUGCUUAACACAUGCAAGUCGAACGGAAAGGCCCUGCUUUUGUGGGGUGCUCGAGUGGCGAACGGGUGAGUAACACGUGAGUAACCUGCCCUUGACUUUGGGAUAACUUCAGGAAACUGGGGCUAAUACCGGAUAGGAGCUCCUGCUGCAUGGUGGGGGUUGGAAAGUUUCGGCGGUUGGGGAUGGACUCGCGGCUUAUCAGCUUGUUGGUGGGGUAGUGGCUUACCAAGGCUUUGACGGGUAGCCGGCCUGAGAGGGUGACCGGCCACAUUGGGACUGAGAUACGGCCCAGACUCCUACGGGAGGCAGCAGUGGGGAAUAUUGCACAAUGGGCGGAAGCCUGUUGCAGCAACGCCGCGUGCGGGAUGACGGCCUUCGGGUUGUAAACCGCUUUCGCCUGUGACGAAGCGUGAGUGACGGUAAUGGGUAAAGAAGCACCGGCUAACUACGUG